CCAUUACAAGGACUGAUUAUUGAUCCAAUAAUCAUACGGCUGAGAACCAAUCAAUUUGACGGGAUUAUUCUUCGGCGUCCGCCACAAGCGUCAGUGGGGAGAGCAUUGAGAGUGAAACACCGUGAGACUUCUCAUCUCGCCAUCUCGGUUUAAAACCAGGGCGUCCGUCCGUACAAUCUAGGGUCUCAGACCAUCGAUCAGCCAUGUACAGAACUGCAGCUUCACGCCUUGGGGUUCUCAAG
rnacentral:misc_RNA from 1 species